rnacentral:rRNA from 1 species
UACGGGGGGGGCAAGCGUUGUUCGGAAUUACUGGGCGUAAAGGGCUCGUAGGCGGCUAACUAAGUCCGACGUGAAAUCCCCAGGCUUAACCUGGGAACUGCGUCGGAUACUGGAUGGCUUGAAUUCGGGAGAGGGAUGCAGAAUUCCCGGUGUAGCGGUGAAAUGCGUAGAGAUCGGGAGGAACACCAGCGGCGAAGGCGGCAAACUGGAUAGGCACUGACACUCAACAACGAAAGCGUGGGGAGCAAACAGG